rnacentral:rRNA from 1 species
UAGGGAAUCUUCGGCAAUGGACGAAAGUCUGACCGAGCAACGCCGCGUGAGUGAAGAAGGUUUUCGGAUCGUAAAACUCUGUUGUUAGAGAAGAACAAGGACGUUAGUAACUGAACGUCCCCUGACGGGAUCUAACCAGAAAGCCACGGCUAACUACGUGCCAGCAGCCGCGGUAAUACGUAUGUGGCAAGCGUUGUCCGGAUUUAUUGGGCGUAAAGCGAGCGCAGGCGGUUUCUUAAGUCUGAUGUGAAAGCCCCCGGCUCAACCGGGGAGGGUCAUUGGAAGCUGGGUGACUUGCGUGCAGAAGGGGAGAGUGUAAUUCCAUGUGUAGCGGUGAAAUGCGUAAAUAUAUGGAGGCACACCGGUGGCGUAGGCGGCUCUCUGGUCUGUACCUGACGCUGAGGCUCGAAAGCGUGGGGAGCAAACAGG